rnacentral:misc_RNA from 1 species
GAUGAAGAACGUAGCGAAAUGCGAUAAGUAAUGCGAAUUGCAGAAUUUCCGUGAGUCAUCGAGUCUUUGAACGCACAUUGCGCCCCCUGGUAUUCCGGGGGGCAUGCCUGUCCGAGCGUCAUUGCUGCCCUCAAGCACGGCUUGUGUGUUGGGCCCCGUCCUCCGAUCCCGGGGGACGGGCCCGAAAGGCAGCGGCGGCACCGCGUCCGGUCCUCGAGCGUAUGGGGCUUUGUCACCCGCUCUGUAGGCCCGGCCGGCGCUUGCCGAUCAACCCAAAUUUUUUAUCCAGGUUGACCUCGGAUCAGGUAGGGAUACCCGCUGAACUUAAGCAUAUCAAUAAGCGGAGGA